CCGACCUUGGCUCAGUUGGUAGAGCGGAGGACUGCAGUGGUGCAGAGUAAUCCUUAGGUCGCUGGUUUGAAUCCGGCAGGUCUGA
rnacentral:tRNA from 1 species